CAUCCUGUUUGGCUGAAAGAGUUUCAAGCUUUCGAGGACAAGGCCAGCGCCCUUAGCCUUGAUACUGCUUGCAGGCAUGAUCCGGAGAGGUUUAUCUGUCCUGGGCAGACACUAGCAGUUGGAAAGCAAGAAUAUGUAACUAUCAUUCAAAGUAACUUGGGAAUAAAGUGCCUAUGGAAUGCUGAAGUGAUGGAGUUGAUGUGGGGCCUGAAUAAUCUAAAGGAACAUUUAGUACCUGAUGGAAAAUCAGAGCUGAGUAAAGAGGAUUGCCUCCCGAUGUGUGAAGGGAUGAAAUUUACCCUGAAUAAGUAUGGCUUCGGUGAUCUCAAACCAGAGAUGGUUACUAGAAGUAUUAUUGAGGCGACGGGCCUCUUGUACGAGACUGACUAUCAUGUGAGGAAACAUGGUGAGAGCAUGCGCUAUGCUGGUAAGCACCUGAAAGAGACAUCUGGCAUCAACGCUGAGGAUUGGGACCUGCUGAAACUUGCAACUGCUAUCAUGAUGUUAUGUUACCCUAAUGGUGAAUACAAGUUGGUUGGGAACCUUUCCGAGCCUCCCCGCUUCUUCCCUCACGUGUGCUGCCGCCGUAAUCUCGCCCUCCUAACCGUCAACGGAGCGCUUCCGCCACUGCCGCUCUUUCCAAUCAAGCCACCGCAUCUGCAAUCGAAGAUCCAUCCGCCUGGAGAAGAAGAACAUGAGCCGCCACCAUCCUCAUCUGCCCGUGAGGACGGUUGCAUCUUGAUGGAGAAGAAUGAGCUACUUAGCAGCCCAUACGAAUGUGCUGUUCUCCAAGAGGCAUGUGUGGCGCAAAUGCAGCCUUCGACAGAGUGCCCACAGCAAGCUCUGUUAAACUGCUUUGCUUGGCCAUCCAUCCGAUUGCUACCAGCCCAUGUAUACGAUGGAGUAUUUCACAUGAUAACAAGCUAUAUUAUUAUCUCAGUACAUCUUAUUUCACUCCACAUGAUUAUUAAAUGUUUAGCUUCUAUAUAUUCAAGGUCGCUUGCCUACAUCAAACCUUUGAUUCAAGGAAUUGGUGGGCAUCUGGACUCCAGAUAUUACACUGAUAUCUCCGUGUUCUUCCGCGAAGCAAGAGAAAUCUGCACUUUUGGAGAUGAUUAUUCAAAGUUGGUGGAUGAUGCGCCUAAAUAUAAAGGUAUAUUCCGGAAGUUGUCUUGCUUGAGGGCUUAUGCAGAAAUGUCACGGCAGCUGAAACGCAUAUACGACGAGGUACAAAGCGCAGCCAGGAGUGAUCAAACAAGAGUAAUACUCCACUGUUCUUACUAUGCUCCCAAAUUAAGCGUCCCAGCAGCUGGGCUGCACCUGAGUGCCCUGGUGUUUGAUGCAGACAUUAAGAGUGUUGGUAAUGGUAUGUCACUUACUAGUGAUUUGAUCACUCUAGUACUCUUGUGUACUCUCAAGACUGCAUUUCAGACUGAGCUAGAUGAAUCAUAG
rnacentral:lncRNA from 1 species